AUUGAACGCUGGCGGCAGGCCUAACACAUGCAAGUCGAGCGCGAAAGGCCUUCGGGCUGAGUAGAGCGGCGGACGGGUGAGUAACGCGUAGGAAUCUACCUGGUAGUGGGGGACAACUUGGGGAAACUCAAGCUAAUACCGCAUACGCCCUAUGGGGAAAAGCGGGGGACCUUCGGGCCUCGCGCUAUCAGAGGAGCCUGCGUAGGAUUAGCUAGUUGGUGAGGUAAAGGCUCACCAAGGCGACGAUCCUUAGCUGGUCUGAGAGGAUGAUCAGCCACACUGGGACUGAGACACGGCCCAGACUCCUACGGGAGGCAGCAGUGGGGAAUAUUGCGCAAUGGGGGCAACCCUGACGCAGCCAUGCCGCGUGUGUGAAGAAGGCCUUCGGGUUGUAAAGCACUUUAAGUGGGGAGAAAAGGGUAGGCGCUAAUAACGGUUACCUGUGAUAUUACCCACAGAAUAAGCACCGGCUAACUCCGUGCCAGCCGCCGCCGUAAAAC
rnacentral:rRNA from 1 species